rnacentral:rRNA from 1 species
UGCCGCCGCCGCGGUAACACGUAGGGGGCAAGCGUUGUCCGGAUUUAUUGGGCGUAAAGAGCUCGUAGGCUGUUCAGUAAGUCGGGUGUGAAAACUCAGGGCUCAACCCUGAGACGCCACCCGAUACUGCUGUGACUAGAGUCCGGUAGAGGAGUGCGGAAUUCCUGGUGUAGCGGUGAAAUGCGCAGAUAUCAGGAGGAACACCAACGGCGAAGGCAGCACUCUGGGCCGGUACUGACGCUCAGGAGCGAAAGCAUGGGGAGCGAACAGGAUUAGAUA